GCAUAAGUAGUGUUAAAAACUAAUCUUAAAAACUAAGUAGUGUUAAAAACUAAUCUUAAAAAAGAGAACUAGAACAAUAUCAGGUUUCCAAAUUACGAGUUAACUGCUGUAACACCAUGCGAGUCCCAUCCUAACUUAGUAGGAUUGUCAACCUGAAUUUUGAAAGUUCAGGGGAAAUAACAUAGACAUCAAAAUUUAAUAUCUCUUUAUAAUUUAUUAGUAAGAACAAAACUUUCCUAACUUAGGUAUAUCCAUCCCCAGAACCACUAACAAUGUUUGACGCAUCUGGAAUAAUUGCGGCCUGAAAUUGCACACAUGGGACAGUUAAGAGUUAGGACAAAAAUUACAUCAGACAGUUAGGAGUUAGGACACAAACUAAAUGCAAAAGAUUUGGACAGAUCUAAUUCUCACAUUUAUUAAAACUGAAUCAAUUUUACACCCAGAAAAAUAUUUUAAUGACCCUUUUUCAAGUUGUAGGGUGUUGUGCAGAUAAAUACUGCAAAAAAAAAUGGUAGAUUUUAUAUUUUGACAUAUAUUCUUAAGGAAAGAAACAUACACACUAUCAAAGCAAAGGAUGAUACCGGUUAUACUGGAGGAGGUGGAAAGAAAAGAUAUGCUCUCAUCUUGAGACAAACUAGUUAUUGGGUCCAACUUUCUCAAGUUCAAAUUUCUCUGAUCACAACGAAGAAAAUUGCCAUGAGACUCUGGACAAUAUGAUAGAUUUCUGAUAAAGAAACCUAAUCAAGAACGCUCCAAUCCUCACGAAACAGGAAAGCAAUGAAAGAAAAGGAUCUGAAUUCGUAUUAUUCACCAAAGAAUAGUCUGUAUAACACAUAUUGAAAGGCCUUAACCCCUUUCCACAUGACUAUGCCUGUUGACCAAAACAACUAUCAAAAUCCCCCCUCUAACAAACUACCUCCCCUAUUUAUACAUACCCAUUCCUGCCUAUACUAAACUGUAAUAGACAAUUAGUCUGUUAUGGCUAAGUAACUAUCUUCCUUCUCUCGUAAACUUUCCAUAUCUUUUCAUUUCCAUCACAAUAUCAUUUAAGUUUUCCAAUAUAGAUAUUGUUCUAAUGAUAUGAAAGGCAUAAUACACCAAACAUAUUCUACCACAUUUACAUUUUAACUUUAAGGGUGUUAUGGUGAUUAUUCUAAGUUUAGGCUAUAAUCUUUUACUACAUCCCAAAUACGAAAAGAAUCAUCUACAGAACCAGAGACAAAACGGUUUGAAAGAAAAUAAUAUUAACAGCUAACAAAUAUAUAUAUGCUUGGAUGGGGAGAGAUAGAAGACACACAAUCAGUGUGCCCGACGAACCCUUUAAAACAGAUUUGUUGUUCAACAUUCAUUACUUGUAUGUGUAAACGUACAAAAAACUACAAAUUAAAUAUUAUAUCCUUUACACAAUGACAAAAAUUUAUUCAAUUCUAACUCCAUGUCAAGUGUCUUACUAUUCGAUCCCAAGAACCAGUGACAAUUUGUCUAUCAUCAUUGAUCCAACAAAUAUAAAAAAUAUUUUCCUUAUGCGGAACCAAUUCGCAUAUCUUCUCUUUUACUAAACUAAAAGAGAAAAAAUUUUACCGGACUACAAAACUCUGUCAGCUUCUAUAUUUUUUCAUCAUAUAAUUUAAAUCAAAUAAAGAAGAAAUAAGAAAAAAUACUCUUAUUUUCUCCAGAGUUUGAGGUAUUAGGACAAUAAAUAUUGAACAAAGCUAACAUGACCUUUUAUUUUAGACACAGCAAGGAUGUGUGCAAUUUUCGUCUGAGACAAAAUAAAUAAGGAGCUCAAUAUUGCAGACAAAUAUAAAGUGAAAGUGGAAGGCGAGAGUACCUUGUCAAAGGAGAUAAAGCUAGGACCGAAUAAUGUGUUGUUGUGCACUAGUUCGACGCUUUCCUUAAAUUAGAGAUGAAUCCGUCCAUACACGGUGGUUUUCGAAAUGCGGAUAGAGAAAGAGAGCGAAAAAAUGAUGUGAGAGUUUUUCAGUGAAAAUUGAGUUCGAGAGCGAACAACUUCAGAAGAGUUCUCUGCAGGCGAUGUAAGUGUAGAAAGACUCAAAGCUUCGAGCGAGCACGAAUCGUUGAUAAAGUUGGGUUGACGCCAUGAAUGUGUAACAGAAUGACAGGGAACAUCGAACUUCAAUUCAUUUUCGAAAAUUUAAAUAAAAUAACGAAUGAUAGGGAACAACCCAACAUUUAAAUUUCCGAAAACGAAUUGAAGUUCGUUGUUCCCUAUCAUUCUGUUACACAUUCAUGGCGCCAACCAAAGUCUACCAAGGAUUCGGCUAGCUCGAAGCCGAGUCUUUCUACACUCACAUCGCCUGCAGAGAACUCUUCCGAGGUUGUUCACUCUCGAACUCAAUUUUCAUUGAAAACUCUCACGUCGUUUUUUCGCUCUCUUUCUCUGUCAGCAUUUCGAAAACCACCGUGUACGGACGAAUUCGUCUACGAAUUUAAGGAAAUCAGAAGCGUCGAACUAGUGCACAACAACAAUACAUUAUCCACUCCUAGCUCUAUCUCCUUCGGCAAGGUAUUCUCGCCUUCCACUCUCACUCUAUAUUUGUCUUUAAUUUUCUACAAUAUUGACUCUUUAUUUAUUGUCUCAAAUGAAAUUUGCACACAUCCUUAUUGUGUCUAAAAUAGAAGGUCAUGUUAGCUUGUUCAAUACUUACCGUCCUAAUACCUCAAACUCUAGAGAAAAUACGAGUAUUUUUUUUUCUUUAUUUGUUUUAAAUUAUAUGAUGAAAAAAAUAUAGAAGCUGACAAAGUUUUGUGGUCUUGUAAAAUAUAGAAGCUGACAGAGUUUUAAUUCAGUGAAAGAGAAGAUAUGCGAAUUAGUUCCGCAUAAGUAAAAGAUUUUUUAUAUUUGUUGGAUCAAUGAUGAUAGACAAAUUGUCACUGGUUACUGGAAUCGAAUAGUAAGACAUCUGGCAUGAAGUUAGAAUUGAAUAAAUUUGUCAUUGUGUAAAGGAUAUAAUAUUUAAUUUGUAGUUUUUGUAUGUUUACAGAUACAAGUAAUGGAUGUUGAACAACAAACCUGUCUUAAGAGUUCGUCGGGCAUACUGAUUAUAUGUCUUCUAUCUCUCUCCAUCCAGGCAAUGUUCACUGCGUAUGCUUGAACUACGGAUUUUUUUUAUAUAUUUGUUAGCUGUUAAAUAUUAUUUUCUUUUUAAACUUUCAAACUGUUUUGUCUAUGGUUCUAUAGACGGAUCUUUCCGUAUUUGGGAUUUGACAUCCUCUACCACUAUUAACAAUAGUAGGGGAGACGUUGGCUUAAAGUAAGUGACUCUUUUCUUUUUAAUUUGAAAAACUAAUGAAAUUAUUGGUUUCUUGAUCGUUUAGUUAUUAGUCCUUAAUGAACUUUAUAUUUUAUUUAAAAUUAAUUUGUUAUCAUUUUAUUGUUAGUGCAACGUCUAUUGUAAAAGAUGCACAUCUUCCACUACCGAGAAGGGUUAGUUUAUGAGGGAUCUAAGUUCCUUUGUUAGAACAAGCGGAGGCCAGUUUCGUGUAUUAUUUGGCUCAAGGACGAGAAUUCCAUAGUAACUUUUGCCAAAGUGAAUAGGUUAGUUGGGAAAUUGAACAUUUGAUUUUCCAGUGUUUUUACCUGAAUUGAAUCAUUUGACUAACAAAUUGGUUUAUUUCAGCCCAUUAAAACUAUGGGAUAUUAGAAAGUUGGAUCAUUGUGUUAUAGAUAUUAGUCCAUAUCCUGAAAAGGUUGGUUAAUAUAUAUUUUUAUACUUUGUGAGUUACCAAUUAAUUAUGUUGGAUAAAUUUGAUCAUGAUUCUGAAGUGUAGUAAAAGAUUACAUCCUUAACUUAAAAUAAUCACAACACCCUUAAAGUUAAAAUGUAAAUGUGAUAGGAAAUGUUUGGUGUAUUAUACCUUUCAUGUCAUUAGAACAAUUUUCUAUAUUGGAAAACUUAAAUGAUAUUGUGAUGGAAAUGAAAAGAGAUGGAAAGUUUACGAGAGAAGAAAGUGAGUUACUUAGUCAUAACAAACUAACUGUUAUAACAAUUAUUUAGUGAGGAUUAGAGCAUUCUUGAUUAGGUUUCUUUAUCAGAAAUCUAUCAUAUUGUCCAGAGUCUCAUGACAGUUUUCUUUGUUGUGAUCAGAGAAAUUUGAACUCGAGAAAGUUGGACCCAAUAACUAGUUUGUCUCAAGAUGAGAGCAUACUUUUUCUUUCCACCAGCUCUGGUAUAACCAAUAUCAUCUUUUGCUUUAAGAGUGUGUAUGUUUCUUUCCUUAAGAAUAUAUGUCAAAAUAUAAAAUCUACCAUUUUUUUUGUGCAGAAUUUAUCUGUACAACACCCUACAACUUGAAAAAGGGUCAUUAAAAUAUUUUUCUGGGUGUAAAAUUGAUUCAGUUUUAAUAAAUGUGAGAAUUAGACCUGUCCAAAUCUUUUGCAUUCAGUUUGUGUCCUAACUCCUAACUGUCUGAUGCAAUUUUUGUCCUAACUCUUAACUGUUUCAUGUGUGCAAUUUCAGGCCGUAAUUAGUCCUGAUGCGUCAAACAUUGUUAGUGGUUCUGGGGAUGGAUAUACCUAGGUUAGGAAGGUUUCGUUCUUACUUAUAAAUUAUAAAGAGAUAUUAAAUUUUGAUGACUAUGUUAAUCCACUGAACUUUCAAAAUUCAUGUUGACAAUCCUACUAGGUUGGGAUGGGACUCGCAUGGUGUUACAGCAGUUAACUGGUAAUUUGGAAACCUGGUGUUGUUCUAGUUCUCUUUUUUAAGAUUAGUUUUUAAAGUAAGUGAAUCCAACUGUUUUCUUACUAAUUUAACUUGAAAUUUAUUUGACUUUAAUCCAUUUAUUUGUUUAAAAAGGUCUCAAAUUGUUUUUUUCAGCAUUCCAAUUUCCCUCGAUAUGCCAUUUCAGGUUCACAUAUAGAAUAAAACAAUUACUCACAAUAGAUGAGAUGACACCAUACAAAAAUAUCAAGACAACCUACUUUGGUAGGAUAUUUAGGAGUACUAGGAAAAAGGUAGUUUAACUGUAAUAAAUGAAUUCUGCAACCUUUCUUCUCCAAAAUUAGUUUUAAAAUAAAUACGAGAGAAAUAUGGCAUGCAUUGAUGGUGGAACAUUGCUCCUAAAAGAAAACCGUACGAGCGAAGCGAGCUCCUCGAAGCUUCCUCUGAAUGAGAAGAUGCAGCGGAAAUUGUUGAAGAAGCUCUAAUCACGAGUUAUUCAAAGACGAACACAAGAAAAAUCCUAGACCUAAGUUUUAAACGGUGGAAAACCCUAAAUCAGAGAAGAAUCACUCAAUGGACCGAUUAAUCGACAUGAAAUGUGGCUCUAUGCGAAGGAAGGCCAAAUGAAGAUGUGGUGACGUAACUCUAGACGCUGACGCAAGAAGCAGGAGAUAUGGCAUCUGAUGAAUGGUGCAGCGUGGAGGAGUGAGGUCGUGGAUGAGAAAGAGAGCACAAUGGUGAGAUGGAAAAUGGAAGAAUGAGGUAGUGUGUUGGAAGGUGGCUAGAAGAAAAUCAAAUUCUCAUUAAUUUCAAAAGUAGGAAAUACAAGAGAGGAGUUGGGUAUUUAUAGUAACCCAUGCUCCUUACAAACUAAGCUACACGUACAAUAAAAUGUAAAAAAAUAUGAAAAAAAGAACUACAUUAGGCAGGAUUCGGUUUAAUCAUUUAUGAAGUCCCUAAUUUCGUGUGGAAUUUCAAUUUCGUCCCAUUCUUUUUGGAUUUCUCAAUUUUCUGAAAAUUGGGACAAUUGGAUCCUUUUCGUUCAAUGGAAUCCAAUGGCGUUAAUAUGUGUUUGACGUGGCUCAGUUUCUUACCUGUCGUGGGUAGGAACACCUUACUACAUGGAAUUAGGGCUAUUGAGUUUUAUUAUUCUGUUGGGUUAGACAGUAAUCGGGUUUAUGUUAAGUUAGGUUUUUUUUUGCUCUUCCUUUGUUUUUCCCGUUUUCCUAAGAACUCUAUAAAUAGAUGCUCACCCCCUUUCAUUUGUAAGAUGUAUACAGACGAAUAUACAAGCAUUUUACAAAAGUUAAUAAAGCACGCAUUUUUCAUACCUCCGACGAAGCCCUCACUCGAUCCUCUCUCUUUUCCUCCAAACACGACCAUGGCAGCGUCGCUAUGCAGAAAGCUGCUCUGCUUCUCUCUCUAGCUUCUGGAGAGUCUUCGAACUCUUUCUCUCUUUCGUGCUUUGUUGUGCCUAGAACUGCAUCAAUGAUUGUUAAAGUUCUCUCUUCAAAUAAUGCUUAAACUAAUAUUUCUAGGAGUGGGCAAAGUGUACUAAACUGAAAUAUAAACAAUUAUAGUUAACUAUAAAACAAUUCAACUAUACUAAACUGAACUAAAAAAUAGUUCAAAAAAACUAAACUAAACUAUUUUUUAGUUCAGUUACAUUGCAAUAGUUCAGUUAACUAUUUAAAAUAGUUUCAGCAGAACAAAAUAUAAUAAUGUUUGAACAACUAAAACCAGUGUAUCUAAUUACUUUUAUUACCCACUAUAAAACAGUUUUAUCCUAAUGUGACUAUCCCAUUAAAUCAUAAACAGAUUUGGAUUAAAUCCACUCCUUGAAACUAGAUUUGAUAAGUCAGGAAUGGAGCAGUUUCUUCACCUGUUUUCAUAAACCCUGAAAAGGAUCAGGCCUUGUGAAGUCAGGGCAAACAUCUAACAGGACAAAGGCUAAAUUGCUAAAUAAAAGUACUAUUAAGAAGACUACCUCUAAUUUUUCUACUUUUGCAACAUUCUCAGGGGACACAAAUUCCAAUUCCACACAAACACAACACUACAGAUCAAUAAUAACAAACUUGUCAUACACUAAAAAACACAAGAUAAAAAGUGAAACAAAAGUCAAUGCCUAGAUAAUGAUAUCCUCAAUCAGAUGGAUAGUAGUAAGAUCAACACGUCAAGGGAUAAAUUGAAACUAAUUAUUGUGUAGAGACUUACUAUUCCAUGAAUAAAUUAAAUGUUAUGUAUAUAUAAUAUGGAAUAUACAUGAAUUGAUAUAAUUAGAACUAUAUACAUAAAUACCAUUUCCUCUCCCAUCAUCUAAAUUCUAAAUUAUCUAUCACCUUUCAACUAACUUAAUAUUAAUUGUCACUAAUUUUAAACAACCUCGUCUAUUUUAGAACGUAAGUUACCUUCUUUUAGAGCAAGAUAAGCGUUUAUCUUUGAAUUACUACAUCUUCUUAAUCAUUAUACUUAGGUUUUCACACUUAAAAAUAAAAGUCAUCUCACUUAAAAAAAAAAAAAAAAGUGACAAUAGCACUAUCUUCUAGAUAGUAUUUAUCAUAUCCCAAAAUUUAUUGUCCUCAAGAUCCUGGCUAUACAAUGUUUUACUUUCUUAGUCAUUCUAAGACCAAUUAUAUAUCAGCUCUUGUAACUUAUACGUGGUAUAAUAAUUUUGCACAUGUCCUAGAUUCAACUCAUGUCAUGUCAUCAUAUAAUAUGUAAACAAUAAGGAAUAAACAGUGAAAUGUAUAUAUACAAAUCUAACUUACGUCAAGGAUUUUCCUUUGAAAACUAUGGAAGGAGCAAGUGCAGCUAAGGUACAAAAUCUUAGGUAAAGAUGCAUGCAGAAAGGGAAAUGAUAAUAAGUGAAUUAUGUUGGAAAUGUGAACCAAAGCUUAAGUGCAUAGCAGCAAAACAGUCAAUUUACCAGGUAAAACAAGAAAAACCAUCCAAAGUUCAAAGCACUAUCGGUCCUGCAAAAAUAAAAAUAGAACAAAUUUCAAAUCAAGAGUGUAACCAAAUUAGAACGAUCAAAAUACCCAUUCAUAUUUUGUUCAAAUUAGAACGAUCAAAAAAUGCAGUUUCUCAAAAAAGCCAAAUGCAUCAUUCAUACUGAAAAGCAAGCAAUCAUACUUGAAUCCGGCAAUCCCGCAAGCAGCAUCCAUCUCAAACAAAUUCUAAUCUGCAUCAACAUGCAAUAAAUUUGUUAAUUUCAAUGUUCACAAAAACCCUGCUCAAUAAACCAUUGCCUCUUUUGAGCCAGAAUAAACAAGAUUUUUAACAUAUCCCUUGUUGUUUGAUAAACCACCCUCAUAAUUUCUUCAGCUUCUGCCCACGCAGUCCAUUCCAGAAAGCAGCUGCAUUUACUGUCUUUUUUCCAGGAAGCUGAACUUCCAAUACCUGAGAGAGUUACAGUGUCACCGAUUCAGAAAGGCAUAUUUGACAUGCAAGAAUUUUGGGCUUCUAUACCUUACUGAAGAGCAAGUAUUUUCCUUAAUGCUUGCUCCUCGUGAUAUAAAAGAAAAACACUGGUAAACUGUAUCUCAGAAAGCAAGUAAUUACAAACUCGAAGAUUUUGUAUUUUUCAAGUACGAAUGCUCUUUCAAUAAAGUGAGGAUAUACAAUUCGCAUUCCCAAGGACACUGCUCUUUCAUCUGAUAUUAUUUGUCUCAAUUCCUUUUUUUGAAAAGGUAAGUAAGAUUUAUAUUAAAAACUGUUGAAAAACACAACUGCCAUUAAUUACAAUCAUAGAAUCCAAUCCCUAUUGGAUAAGACAAACAUGUAAUCAUAGAAAGUACAAGAGCCUCUUGAAUGGGUUACAGGAGUUUCCAUUUUUAUAGUUGACAUUAAUUUCAUAGAUAAAUACAUUUCAUGUUGAUUCCAAGAUGCAAGAAAGACAUUCAGAAUUUCAAAGAGUACUUGGGCAAAAUGAGAACGAGAGGGCUGGAAUUUCCCAUUUUUUAUGGAAACUCGUGCAUGAAAUAUAUUAAAUAGCGAUUUUCAGAAAAAGAUAAUUAUUAAGCAGCAGCUUCAGCAUAAGGGAAUAUAUACAAUAACAAAUUUCAAAAGGUAACUGGUUUCCACCCAUCAUCACCUACCUAGGUGGUGCAAACAUGAUACAAAAACGUACCUCAAUUGUGGUACCCCUUCCACAUGGAAAUAACAACGCACCGUCAACAAAUGCAACAUCAUCUGCUUCAUUGAACUGCACACUUUCAUGACUGCUAAGUCGUGUGGUUAUAAUUUUAAUAUCCAAAGUUUUCUGCUCACCAUUUUUCUCAACCACUAACACUCUUGCUCGAGUUCCUGGCCACCCUGAAAAGGCACGAACCUAAAAUUGUUUUAUGUCACAANAUUUCAUAGAUAAAUACAUUUCAUGUUGAUUCCAAGAUGCAAGAAAGACAUUCAGAAUUUCAAAGAGUACUUGGGCAAAAUGAGAACGAGAGGGCUGGAAUUUCCCAUUUUUUAUGGAAACUCGUGCAUGAAAUAUAUUAAAUAGCGAUUUUCAGAAAAAGAUAAUUAUUAAGCAGCAGCUUCAGCAUAAGGGAAUAUAUACAAUAACAAAUUUCAAAAGGUAACUGGUUUCCACCCAUCAUCACCUACCUAGGUGGUGCAAACAUGAUACAAAAACGUACCUCAAUUGUGGUACCCCUUCCNCAUGGAAAUAACAACGCACCGUCAACAAAUGCAACAUCAUCUGCUUCAUUGAACUGCACACUUUCAUGACUGCUAAGUCGUGUGGUUAUAAUUUUAAUAUCCAAUGUUUUCUGCUCACCAUUUUUCUCAACCACUAACACUCUUGCUCGAGUUCCUGGCCACCCUGAAAAGGCACGAACCUAAAAUUCUUUUAUGUCACAACUGUGCCCUUCAGAUAAGAUCAUGAAGUUUACCUUAUUGUGUAGAACAUAUGCUUCUUCAUCAAAGGAUAGCCAUGAUUCAUCUGAGUUUAUCUGCAUAGUGUAGAAAAUAAAAAUGAGCAACUCCUCAUAAGAAAGAUAUUUUACCAACUGUAUAUACUCGAGUAUUUUCUUUUCCUUAAGAAUAACGGGAUGUUUACUGCACUGAACAGAAAGACACGUAAUACAAACCAUCACCAAUUCAAUAUUCACAGGUUUUCUAAAUGAACUACAGCUCACUGCUAAAUGAAAUCAUGUGAUCAUAAAUAGCAUGAAACCCUGUUUCUGAACAACAGGACCUCUGGAAGUAUUGAAAAAUCAGAGACAGGAGAAAAAGAAAAAACAUUAAAAUUUGUAAUAGUGCAACACCCAGGAAGACUAUUUCUCAGGGAUAUGCUUCUUAUAGACUACUAGCUUCUUGGGUUAAGUGAAGGUUCACAUAUUGCAUUUUGUAAGGAAAGUGAGGAUAACUUAGCUCCUUACACCUUUGUUGUCUAUAGUUGAAGCAUAAUUUAGCCACAAAAAAAUUUAUACUCUCUUCCCACAAACUAAGUGAUACAAAAAUAAGUUCAUGACUGAUUCUGCUCAUCUCUCCUUCCAACAAGUUGUAAUUUGGUGUCCUGUAUUUUUCUGAUUUGUCUUGUGUUUUGUUUUAAAUCUCAAACAAUUCAUUUUUUUAAUCAUGAAAGCACUCCAAAACAACCUGUAAGGCAAAGUCUUUAAUUUGGAAAGAUGUAUACACUGCACGUUAGAAUCUAUACAAGUGGAAAUUUGCAGAUGUAGACCUCUUGAGUGACAGCUCUUUUACCCAACAUGUGUUAUGAACUAAUGAACCCAGAAACGGUAAGCCGCUUAUUUUUUGCAUUGUGAAACUUUUCUUUACUAUUUGCAACAUCAGAAUGAGUCCCCGCAUCUUAGCAUGAAUUCACUUACAAAUUGUUCCUUUGGAUUCACUAAAUGAGUCUUUCCACCUUUGAGAAUUAUCACGUAUGGGUUUUGUUAGGAAUAUAUGGGGGACUAAAAUGAAGGCAACAUGUAUUGUAUGGUGUAAAGAGGAAUAUACAAUGUCCAUAUCUUCAAAUGUCUUCUUUCUACCCGUUGAAUUUAUUGUCGAUAAUGUUGUGCUUGUGGCCUCUCAUUCCCACUCUUUUGAUUAUUUUUUAAAGGGAAUUCAUGUUACUGACUUCCAAAGAGAAUCAACAACCUUGUUGCAUUUUUGAACCAUUAAUUUGUUCCCAGAAAUGCAAUAGAUUUUUAAGAGUAUAUGCAAUAUCAACUUUCAACAGUCUAGAUAGUAUUUUGGACCCAAAAUUUGGAGGACCUGAUAUAUACCGAACAAAUAUUACUAGGAAUUGUUAUUUUCUAUUUCAGCUUCCUGGUAACAUAAUCAAGGCUCACAUACCUUAGGAGCCAAUGUAGCCUUAGAAUCAUCCUGAGGUUGGGCCUUUAAUCUUGCUGAUCCAUCAAGUAUAGAUGGAAGUUCCCUAAUCAAAAGUUCAGAUCCUGUUUUGUCAAAUAAAGGUAGGAACUCAGUCAGUGUAGAACACUAUCAAAAUGCCCAAAUAAGAAUAUCUUAGUACAGAGAUCACCAAGAGAAAGAGGUACACAGAACGACAAAAAUGGAAGAAUCAUACCUUUAUGAAAGAGGAGCUCAAGCAAAUCAGGUGCCUACACAGAAAUCUAAAGUUUUGUCAGAAGCAGGGAGAAAAAGUAUACCAGCCUUGUAAGUUUUACCAAACAAGUUGACAGCUAUGGUUACAGGCAAUCCAUAAUGCUAAAGACAUAAAAAAUAGAAAAUAAAAAAUCCAGGAAAUUAACGUAUAUUUUAAUCACGAACCUGAUAUACUAUUAAUACAAUUAAGGGAGAUUGUAACCCUUGAUAUAAUAUGCACCAAUUUUACAUAUCCAAACCAGAAGUAGAAACAUUUCAAAUUAGGUUACAAAUGAAGGAUAAAGAUUAUAUGUAAAACACUUAUCUUCUUUGAUAUAUAAAUCAAAGGGCUGAUGAUGCAUUUCCAUUCCAUUCAUACCAAUUGUAGCAGGGACGGACAAAGAAAAAACAUACCUUUAUUUGAUCAUCAACUUGAAUUGUUUCAGUAGCAAUGAUAGGUCCAGCAUCGAGAGCACGAACGGUGAAUGCUAAUGACACUCCAGUUUCUUUAACACCAUCCUAGUGUACAAAUCAAUAUAAACCACCAGCAAAGUAAGUUAAUGAAAUAGAAACAUUGAGAAUCUAGGCACUGACGAAAGAAAUGGGGGGAACCUGCAAUGCCCUUUGAACAGGAGCAGCGCCACGAUACAAUGGCAGCAGGCUAGGGUGAAUGUUGACUGUUCCUGAGAUAUUUGCAAAUGGAAAGGUGUCACAGAGGUCUAUUUUUUUUUUUUCUUUUUUAUAGAUUUAGCAAUGACGUGGCUGGCAUUAGAGGAGGGAGUCACAAACCCAAUGAAGGAAUAUCUAGAAACUUGGUAGGUAAUAUAUUGCCAUAGGCAGCUGUAAUGCACAGGUGAGGUUGCAAAGCUUUUAAAUUUGACAAAAAAGCAUCCUGCAGGAAUUGAAUAUGAUGAGAAAGAAACAAAUUUAGGAAAAGAAACGCAAUAAACAGAAUAGGAUAGAAAAGCUAGGUACGUCUCCAGCUUUAUCGGGAGUGAAAAUGAGAUCGGGGGAGAAGCCCCUGUCAAGAGCAUGAGUGGCCAAGGGAGAGAGGGCGAGCUUCUUGCCUCUGUCCCUUCUAGCAGGUGGCUGAGUCACGAUGGCCGCAACCUGAUGAAUUGCAUACACAGUGUAAACAUGGAAUGAACGUUGAAUUACAAGGAAAUGGCGUGUGUAUGGGAUGAGAAACCUCGAAUAAAGAAUGUGGAGAAGCAGAGGCGUUGAGAAGCUUGUCAAGGACUAUGGCGGAGACCUGAAAAGCAGAGAAUGAAGUGAAACAGAAAAAGGUGAAGAAGGUAGCAUGAGUGCUCGGAGAGACAGAGGGAGACCUGAGGUGCGCCCAAGAAGACAAGGGGCUUCUUGGUGGUGGUGGAAGCAGAAGAGAAAGGGAGGAAAGGAGAGACGCUCUGCAAACAGCACAACCGACGAAUCAUGGUGGUUGCGGUUGUGGCUGUGGCGGUUGAGGGCAUAGAACCACACCACCUGUAGCUAUGCAUUUCUACUUCCCUUCCUUCUCUCUCUCUUUCAUAUCACAAUUAUACAUAAAUUUUUUUAAUCAUUUCAACAUAUUAAAAAUUAAAAAUAGUAAAGGUAAUUUUUUUUUUAAAUGGUUUACACAAGAAAAAAAGAAAAUAUAUAAUUAAUUAGCCAAAUAUUAAUUUUGAAAAAAGAACCGAAUUGAAACCCCUCUCUCCCCUUUAUCUUAUCCAUCUCUCAUUCUCACUCCUUGGUUUGCAGAACAGGGGUAAGUAACAUAGCAUAACAGACAUGGCUGUUUCUCUGUCGGUGAACCGUCCUCUCCUUCGUCUUCACCACAAGCAUCCACCUUUACCGGUGGNCAUCNCUCCCCAACUCCAUUUCCACUGUCANCCCAAGCUCGCCGGAAUUCGAUGCUCCUCCUCGCCCUCCCAUUUUACNGACAAAACCCUCAUUUCCAUCAAACCUAACACUUCCCACAUCAACGACAACCCCCUCGCUUGUCGCUUCCACGCUUCCCAGUUUGGAGGUACGCUCUUUCUCUUUCUCUUUCUCCUUCAUUUUUAUUGACCCUUCUCCAUAACAUGCUUCUUCCAUCUCUCUUCUGAUUUCAACAUCGCAACCCUNACCUAACUAUUUACUUACUCAAUUCUCGUGUUUGCGCCUACAUCAAAUAUUAGCCCCAAUUUAUUGUAUUACAUUGUAAUGUGNCUUCUUCUCACCAUCUAUAUCCUGCAUUUAGAUAUGUUACAGUCAGAAGGGUAUCAAACGGACCUUUUUCUUCACAUUGUGUGUCCUUCUUUCAUCUUGUUUCCAGGGGUAAAAUUCAGUAAUCAGUAUUGUAUUGUGAAUACCCAAUUUCACAUUAUGAAUGUUAUUUGUCAACAUGGUUUUAUUCAGUAAUCAGUGUUGUGUCGUCAAUUCCCAAUUCCUAUGGCUGCUUAAUGAUUUGAGAGUUCUACAAGUUUUAACCUUUGCAUUAGUUAUACAAGGUGCACGUCAACCUUAUCUAUCAUCUGGUGCAUUCCAACGCCAAUCGGAUGCCUUUGCCUCUCAUUCACUUCUUGAGACUAUUUUUCAACUGUAGUAUAAACUUAGUGGCGAUUCUUUAAUUCUUGAAAGUUUACUGUCAAGUGUUUAGCUUUUUACAUUUUACGGGUCUAGUUGUAUCUCUAAUAUUCCAUCAUGUGUAUCUUAAUCUGGUGAGAGAUGUGCAGCUUAGAAGGAAUUGGGAAAAGAUGUAAUCGAUAUUUAAAUUUAAUGCUGGUGCAGGACAGGAGAGCAGCAAAUCCGUGGAAGCGUACGCUAUUGGGCGAAAUAUUCGCAUGUCUGCUAAUAAAGCUCGAAGAGUGAUCGAUCAGAUUCGUGGACGAAAAUANGAUGAAACACUUAUGAUAUUAGAACUAAUGCCUUAUCGAGCCUGUGAAGCCAUUCUGAAGAUAGUGUUUUCUGCUGGUGCAAAUGCUACCAAUAACCUGGGUUUAAGCAAGGGAAGUUUAGUUAUCAGUAAAGCAGAGGUUAAUGAAGGAAAAACAAUGAAAAGGGUAAAACCUGUGGCUCGAGGGCGUGCUCAUCCAAUUAAAAAGCGCACUUGUCAUAUAACCAUCACUGUAAAAGGCUCACCAAGUGAGUCCAUCGUGGAAGCGAGCNCUGCAUAAUCCUUUUCGGACUAAAUAUAUGUACGCCUUAUGAUGAGUUAGUUCCCUUUACCCUUUAUAUUUGAUCAAAAUUUCUGUAUUUCGACAUUAUGUACUUCAUUUAUACCGUGUGACUUAAACCUUGUUCCGAGCACCGUCUCGAGACCUUCCUUUGGCCACUCUUGAGAUUACUCUGCUUUUGUCCAGCCCUGUUUGACCUCCAUUGCUACAUGGGCGUGUUACCUAACCUUGAAAAUGAAGUUUUGGUUUGGGCGAUGUUGAGGGAUAGAGAACUGUGAAUUGGUUGCAUUGUAGAAGAACUAGUGCAUCUUACUACUAUUAUCAAUAACAAUGGACAGAAUCCAUAUAACAAUGAACAGAAUCCAUAUAUCAUACACAAAGUACUAGUGAUGGUUACUAAUUUCAGAAAUUCUUAUAUUGUGUAGGCUAAUUUAAUUUGAAUGACUGGAAAAGUACUUAAGUGACAAAGAGUGAAAGUGAAUGAAUGCUUAGGGUUAUAGUUUUCCUUAUGCUCAUAAUUGUUUUCUUAAUUUAGUUCCCAAUAAUGAACCCCUGAUCUAUUUUGUAAAUACCAAAUUUUCCUCCUUGAUAUAUACUUUUAAUUGUUUAUCAUGAAAUUUAAAUGUUUUUCUCAAAUUCGUUUUCUCGUUGAAAACCUAAUUCAAAUAAAUGAUAAAGAGCAUAAAGGAGGACUAAUUUAUCUAAUUGGAAAUUAGGCUUGACGGUUGGUCAUACAUUAAUUCUAAAUUUUAUUGCCCCAUAGUGAUACAAUGCCCUAAUGAAAAAUAAAUUUAAUUGAAAUUGUUGGAAGUUCUACGAUUAAAUAUAAAGUUAAAUUGUAAUAUAUAAAUGGAUAUAAACUNUAUUAAUUUUGUGAAUUUUUUAAUAUAAUAGUAGAAUAUAUUUAUCUUAUAAAGUUUUACUUUUUUCUUGANGUGGUUUAUUGUACUUGAAAAUUUUUCUCAUUUCUUUUAAUUUUAAUCAAACUUUUCUAGUUAAGAUAAAAACCGUUAGUUAAUAUUUUAAACAAGUUUAAAUAUUUCAAUUAAAGAUGAAGAAAGAAAUUUUGAUGGUAAAAUUCUUGAAAAGAACUGAUCCCUGAUUGCAUAACAUUCGUAUUAAGAUCUUCUGAAGAAGGUUCAAAUGAAAGACUAAUUUGUGGACAGCAAGCUAGUGUGCCACCAUCUUCAAAUCAUGGGUACAACGAAAAAGAAUGGUUCAAUUACGUGUUAUACCAGUGCUAGUAAAAUAAAUGUUGAAGCUCUGAAAACAAUGCUUCCAUCAUUCUCAUCACGGAAACUAAUAAUACUUUUUAUGUUUGAUAUUUUAUAUUUUUUAUAUUUAUUGUAGAUCAAAUGUAAUUACUUGAUACUUAAUUUUACACAUAUUAAAAUCCUUAACCUAAAUUUAUGUUUGUUGGUUAGUUUAAUAACAAAUGGAAAUUUAUGUUUGUUAUGUUUAUAACAAACAUAAACUUAUGAAAAAACAUAGGUAAAUUUUGGAGUUUUUUAUAUGUAUAUUAGGUUUGUUCUGUACACCUCAUACUCAUAUGUAAAUAAAUUUGUGUUUGACCUUUAAUCAUUAAACAUGAAAAAAAAACAUUUUUUAUGUCGUUUACAUAUUAAACAUAAAUAUUGACAUCAAAGUUUUUAUAUUUAUUGUCUAUUCGUGAUAUAUUGUUUGUGUUAGUAAUGAAGACAGAUUAAAAUUGUGGUUUUGUAUUUGGAGACCCCAACCUAACUCUUUAAAAAGAUACAAUUUCAAUUUCAAUAAUAAUAAUAAAAAACUAAAACACUUAUCUCAAUAACAAAUAUUGAAUAUCAUAAGAGAAAAAGACUUAUAAUCACUAAUUAAGACAGUUACGUCCAAAACCUUCACAAACAUAAAAAAAAAGUUGUUAAUAUAAAUAAAUAAUAAAGAAAAAAUUAUAUUAAAGAAAUGCUAAAAAGAAAGAACACAAUAUCCUAAUAUAAACAUAUUUAUGUCAAAUGCUUCAAAAACUAACAUAAAUAUCUAAUUUUAUAUUAGACUCUAAAAUCUUGAUCAUAUAAAAAAUUAUACUAUUUUUAAGAAAACGACCUUAUAGUAACCAUUUCUUAUAUUAAUGUUGUCAUCUAUCACCUAUAAAAUACAAAUAUGUUGUUGAUAUAUAUUACUGAAAAUGGUUUAGAACUCGCGGAUCAAUCCGGUCCAGGUUGAACUUGUGAUGAGCUGGAUUGACUCACCAACUUAUCUAGUUUAAUUUAAUUAUUUAUUAUUUUGUGUUUCAAUAUUAUGGAGAAUGGGGAGGUGGAGGGAGCAAGAGGUAGUGGUGGUGGAGGGAGCAACACCCCCGGGGUAGUCGGCUUGGAUGAUCGGCCUGAUGGUUGGUCGGCUUGAGAAGAGUCGUUCGACCUGAUAGUUGGUUGGCCUGGUGGUUGGUCAGCAUGAGAAGAGUAGUUCGACCUGGAUGGGUGGCUGGAUGAUGGACCUGGUAGUUGGUCGGCCUGAUAAGAGUCGUUCGAUUCACGGAGUUGAAAGGAUCAUACUACAUGACCUUAUAAUAACAUUUACACUAUGUCACUUUUUACAUUAAUGUUGUCAUCUAUCACCUAUAAAAGAAAACAAUAAAAUUUGUUAAAAUAUUUAAAAGAUCAAUGAUUAAUGUAUUGUUUAGAAUGUAAUAAAAUAAUGCUGAUGCCUUUUAAUUUAACAAAUUUCCCAUAAAAAAUAGAAUUUGUUAAAAUAUUUAAAAAAUCCACGAUUACUUUAUUGUUUAAUGUGAUAAAAUAAUGCGCAUGCCUUUUAAUUUAACAAAUUUCCCAUUACUUUAAACUUUGAAAAAAGGGUCAAUGUACUAUUGUUUUGAAAAUUUUGAACGUGUUAAAGCAUAAAAAGUUUAAUUAACUAGAUAGUUAAAUGACAGAAACUAUAAUAACAAUAUGUAAAUAUAUUUUUUUAUUAAAAUAUCAAAAUAAGCAAAAACGUUACACCGAGUUUAAAAUGGAAGCAUUGUUAUGAACAACAUCAUGAUUAGUAUUAAUUUGGCAGUUAUUAUUAACUUUAAUUGCAUUAAAAGACAACAAUGAGUGAGUUAAUCAAUCGUUAACACUGAAUGAAGAGAAAAAAAAAAAAAAAGACAAAAACCAUGGGAUCCUACAUUGUCACAACAAUGCACGAAUAAUAUUUGUUGAUUCCAAACGCUUCUACUUUACGAUUCAGCUUUCACAGAGGCUGUUCUUCUUCUUAUGCAACAUUUCAUAACACUUUAAAAAGUGUCACUAUCUAUGCUCCACUUUUUACAGCUGAUUCAUUCAUCUCAUUUUCUCCACACUAUUUAAGUCACACAUGUAUCACUUAUGUUUCUGANGAAGAGAACAAACAAUAAAGAAGAGGUGUGAAGAUUAUAUCGACAUAUUUGUCUGUCUAUUUAUCUUUUUAUUUGUCUAUUUAUUUGUAUGUGUUGUUUGCUCGAUCAAACAAUGACGAUAUGAAAGAACAUGAUGGUGGUGAUGGUGAGUGUAGUGGUGAUGAGGUGGUGAUGGGAAAUUCGGUGCUUCAUAAGGUNGGAGGCUCCAAAGGUUGGAUCAAUAAUCAUGAUGUCAACUACACUGAAUGGUCUGCCCAAAACCAUGUCUAUGUUGGAGAUUGGCUUUGUAAGUGCAUGCAUAUAUACUUCUUUAUGUUUCUUACUUUGAUUCCAUGUUCUUCAAAAAUGAUAAUAAGUUUCACCUUAGUUGUUCUAUCUUAUUUUUUUUCUCUAAACCAAAAUCAUGAUUUGUUUCUCUUUAGAUUUUCCUCNCAAUAGAAUUUUGAGAUCGAUCAAUUUUCUUAUAUAAAGUCAUAAUAUUUAGAAACAUGUAUAUUUUUAAAAUGAUUACGUGAGUCAGGGAAGAUUAUUAAUCAAAAUCACAUAUAUGAAAAAAAAUCAUUAGAUUAUUCUAAAACAUUAUGCUAUUUUUUUUUCUUAUUUCACAAGUUAAAUAUGAUAUAAUUUUGUUGGAUCUUCUAAUAUUUAUAAAAGUUAUGUGGUAUUUCGUGAUGAAAAAUACCUUAUUAUUUGGCGAGUUGGAGUAUUGGACAAGAAUUCCACUUAUACUUGCAAAAGAGGGAUUAAAAAGAAAGCAUAGCACUUUUUUUAUCCUUUAGUUAAAUUUAGAAACCUUGCCAUAAUUAAGUGGCAAUUAAACGUGUUAAUUGAUUCUUGAGGUAAAAAUACAAUAAAAUAUUUGGAUAUUUGGAACAGAUUAACCGUAAGUAAUACUAUUGAAAGUAAAUAUAGGUAUUGGUAAAAAGAAGUUAAAGGCAUAGUCAAGAGGAGCAUAAGAUCACAUUANAAAAGAAAAAGAAAAAGAAUCUUCCUUUCAAAAUGUUGAGAAUGGAGCUUUAACAUAAGUUUGUAUAUAUAUGUAGUAUUGUUGUUUGAUUUGGCAAAUAGCAAAAAUAAUACAAGAUCAUACCAUUAUAUGACAUGUGAAUGGACUGAAAUACAGCAUGUUAAUUGGUUUUUUAAUUUAAUUUCUUUCAGCAUAGGUAAAGUGAAUACAUUUAAAUAUAUGUUUUUUGGGUAUAAUUUGUUUUUGUAUCUCAUAAAUUUAAAAUUUGUUUUUUCAUCUAUAUAAUUAAAAAAUGUUCCUUUUAGUUCGAGUUCCAAAUAUAUAACUAUAAUUAAUUUAACCUAAUAACUAUAAAUUAAUUUAACUUUUCAUUUUGCAUUCUCAUCAAACUUUUUUCGGAAUGGAUUGAAUGAUUUUUUUUAUUACAGUUUUAGUUAAUUUUUAUGUAUUCGAAUAAAGAAAAAAUAUAUAAAAAAAAUUGUUAAAAAUUAAACAAAAUUAACUAAAAAAAUAUAAGUGAAUUCAUUCUCAAACUUUUCACACUUAUUUUUCCUUUUGAGUUUUUGAGUACCAAAUUUAACUCAAAAGUAUCCUUUAUUAAAUUUUGGUAACUGUAGAAGACAUUUAGGCAUGGGAGAUAUUAUUAUUAUUUUUUAAAUCACAUCUAAUAAAAAGAUAAUUUUUAAUAUGAAAAUUAAAGACAGAUUUAACUCAAAUUAAGGUUGUGAUUUUUUUAAUUUUCAUUCUAUUUAUCUUUAGAGUAUGCAUCUAGCUAGCUCCCUUAAAAUUUGGAUUAGCUAAUGGUUUGUUUUUUUGUCUAUUGUACUUGAUAUUCUGUAAUGUAUUAUUCUCUUUUAAAUAUCAAAACUAGAAAUUCGGAUUAUUUUGUUAUUUUUUUUAGUGUUUCUCUGCUAUACUUUUAGAAAAAUAUCAAAAUUAGAAAUUUGGAUUAUUUUUAUAAUUUUUUUAGUGUUAUUUCUCUGCUAUACUAUUUAAAAAUAUAAAAACUUUAACACAUUAAAAUCAGUGUAGUUUCGAAUCUUACAACACAUAAAAUUUAGCAUCGACUUGUCAUCCUAAACUUGUUGAACAUCGUGUUAGUAUUCGUAAGAGUAAGUAAAAUUAUAAAAUGGAACAUCAUCACUAUGAUAAUUAUGAACUAAUUAAAUAUAGCUUAAAAGAUAAAGUAUACCAAACUUAUGCUUUUUUUAAAGACAGGAGAUUCAGAUAAAUAUUAUUAUAUUUACAUAUAGUUAGUAUUAAAUAAAUUUUUAAGUUUAAUUUAAUUUUAUAAAAAUAAUUAAUAAAAUGAUAUUUGUAUUUCAUUUAUAUAUUUUGAAUUAAUUUUAUUUAUAAUUUGUGUGACAUUUUCAACGAGUAAUUUUCUUUUAUUUAUCCACCAAUGCAUGAUAUACUUGAUUUUGUUCUUACAUAUAUCUGCUGAUGGUAAUGAAUUUGAUAUGAAGUGUUCACGUUUGACAAAAGAUACUUCAAUGUUAUGGAGGUGAACAAGACAAGAUAAGAGAAUUGUAUAGACAGAGACUUCAUAAGCAACGUGACAUGAGGUGGUCGUGUGGGUAAAGGGCAAAUGGGUCAAGUGGCAGAAAAUGCUGAUAACAAAGAAACCGUUAGAAAGGGAAAACGCUUCUUUAACACCAAACUUUUGACACUCUUUUGACAUUGUCAUGUGUCGUCUCUCAAUUGGCCAAUUUUGAAAAGAAAGAAAUGAGGUUUUAAUAAUCAGGCAGGGACAUAUUUGGAAAGUGGAAAAAAAUGAAAUUUCAUUUCACGCUUUCUUUCAUUCACACCCUUUCGUUCAUUCGCUCUUCACUCUCAUAUCACUCUUUCUCGUUCUCUCAUCGCAUUCUCUCUCUCGUUCUCUGAGUUCUUUGUCUCUUUCAUUUGCCUGAGCAUUGUUGUGGGUCUCUUUCAUCCUUUUUUUGUUCGUCUCUUUGGCAUUCACCAUUGUUGCUCGUUGAAGGUUGAUGAUUUUAUAAGGUUGGGGCUUUUCGAAGGUUGAGACUUUUCAAAGGUUGGAACUUUUCGAAGGUUCGGGCUUUUCGUCUUCCCACACUGUCUUUCUCGUACUCCAUGACCGAAUAAAGGUUUUGAAGGUUGUGGCUUUUGACAUUGACCAAGUAAAGAAAUGUGUAUGGGACUAGAUCCUCAACAACAUUAGAAGAAUGGAAGCACGACAGAACUUUGGAUUGUUAUAGGAUUUGUUUUAUUUGUAGAGUUUUUCUUUGUAUGUAGACAAAGAUGGAUUUUUGUCUUUGUAAGAAACAAUGUUAUUUAUGUUAAGAUUGUUAUUGCAAUAUAAUGUUAGCUUUCAUGGAUUGUCCAAACAUGACUUGCUAGUCUCUGCUCACACUUAAACACUAAAAAUAAGUUUCAACCAUGGUAUAAAUGUCAAAAAAUUUGAAAGGUCUUUGAGCCUAUACCAAACUAACUUGCCCAAAUGAAAAAAUUUAGACUAACUUGUUCCAGACCUUGAAGGACUUCAACUAACUUGUUCAAAUGAAAAAAAAAUUGUUUCUUAUCUCGAACAUGGGGUGUCCAAACUUGAUUUCCCACACUAAAAUCACACUUAAACAACAAAAUCACACAAACCGUUGCGUUUAUGCAAAAAAUACAAAUAUUUAGACUAUGGUCCCCUAGGUUACCAGAACUGGCUCUUGCAGUACAACUUUCUGUACAAAUAUGGGAUUUUGUUCGUGUAAUCGUUUACCAAGGUCUUGUAAAUUAUUACAACUUUAUUUUUUGCUCCAGACCUUGCAAAACUUCAACUAACUUGUUCAAAUGAAAAAAAAAAUGGUUUCUUAUCUCGAACAUGGAGUGCCCAAACUUGAUUUCCCACACUAAAAUCACACUUAAACAACAAAAUCACACAAAAACCAUUGUGAUUAUGCAAAAAAUACAAAAAAUUAGACUAUGGUCCCCUAGGUUACCAGAACUGGAGUACAACUUUCUGUACAAAUCCAGGAUUUUGUUCGUGUAAUCGUUUACCAAGGUCUUGUAAACGAUUACAACUUUGUAUUUUGCUUUAGACCUUGCAAAACUUAAACUAACUUGUUUAAAUGAAAAAAUUGUUUCUUAUCUCGAACAUGGGGUGCUUAAACUCGAUUUCCCACACUAAAAUCACACUUAAACAACAAAAUUACACAAAAACCAUUGCAUUUAUGCAAAAAAUACAAAAAUUUAGACUAUGGUCCCCUAGGUUACCAGAACUAGCUCCUGUAAUACAACUUUUUGUACAAAUCCAGGGUUUCGUUCGUGUAAUCGUUUACCAAGGUCUUGUAAACGAUUACAACUAUGGUAUGGAGCAAGAAAAAUAUCAAAAAAUGUUUUAAAGGUUUAAGCACGUGUUUGAUCGCUCGCAUCGUCCUUGUGCUAAAAUUUUUUCUUCUUUUAUAAAAAAAAAUAUCAAAAAAUGUUUUCAAGGUUUAAGCACAUGUGUGAUCAUUCGCAUUGUCCUUGUGCUAAAACCUUUUCUUCUCUUUUCUAAAAAAUAAUAAAUAAAAAUGUUUUAAAUGUUUAAGCACUUCGCAUCGUCCUUGUGCUAAAACCUUUUCUUCAUUUUUUCUAAAAAAUGAUAAAAUAAAAAUGUUUUAAAGGUUUAAGCACAUGUGUGAUGCUCGCAUUGUCCUUGUACUAAAAACUUUUUCUCUUUCUUUUAUAAAAAAUACCAAAAAUAUCUUUUAAAGGUUAAACACAUGUGUGUUCUCUCACAUCGUCUUUGUGCUAAAAACCUUUUCUCUUUCAUUUAUAAAAAUACCAAAAAUAUGUUAUCACUUGCAUCGUCCUUGUGCUAUAUACUCACUCGACCUAGUAUUCAUUACCUUCUUCUUUUUCAAAAAAUAUCAAAAAUAUAAAAUCUUCAAAAAUUAAAUGUCAACACCCAAUUUCGUUCGGAUGACUAAAUAAUAUAUGUUUUUUUUUUUACUUUAUUUUAUUUUAUCUUAUUUUAUGUCUUUUUGUAUUUUAAUCUUGGUUUUAUUUCGUUUUAUGUUAUUUAAUUUUAUUUUUAUAUUAGUUUUUAUUUUAAUUCUAUUUUUAUUUUAUUUUACUUUUUAUUAUUUAGAGUUAUUUCAUUAUCCUUUCAUUAUAUGUUAGUUUAUUUUGUUUAGUUUUAUCUUCUUUUUAUGUUAAACGUUAACAAAAAAAAAAAAUCUAAAAAAGGGAAAAAAGAAAAAAAAAAACAGAAAAAGGAAUAGCAGAUUCUCAGACUAUGCAAGCGCGUAUUGAGCUACAACAUGUCACACCAGGCUAUCCCUCCUGCAACAGUGUAACAUUAUCAGUGCUUGCAUUCCAGCAAGCAAUGCUUAAAGUAUCCCUUACAAUACCAGUACGAAAAAGGCCUUCGUUGCUCUUGCUCAAAAUUCCUAUGCAAAGCUGUCACACGUCAAAUGGGGAAAGUAUAUCUGAUUCGUUUUUUGUCAAUUGAUCUCAUUGAAACAUAAAAAUUGAAAAAGACAAGGAUGAAAUCCCAAGAAAGAGGAUAUGCUCUGAUCUUCCUGGAGGCAGUGCGGCGACAGGGAGGAGCGUCUGGUGGGUAUCAAGUUGCUUCAAUAUCUUUUGGAAAAAAAGGGAAGAAGGAGAAGGUUCCUGGGGCUAACGGAGGCAACACCAUCCUCCCUCACACACACACGACUCUCAAUCCAUCAUUCACUCUCUGCUCUACUCACUCAACGGAGACUCCUUCCCUUUGGCUCGAGACUUUCUUUGCUUCUCUCACCCGUGACCACUCCAACCAUUUUUCCCUUUCACUCCCAAUUCUUCACCUCCAAUGAAUCCAUGAUUCACCAUCACAACAAGAGCACAAGAUCACAACCACUAGCGGGGAGGGCUUCCUGUGAGGUUCAGCGAAAAAGCACACGAUAUUACAAUAGAGCAGAAGACCUCACUUUGGUUGCCAUCCUUGAACCUCCCAUUGUUCAAUCCAAGAGAGCAAAGGGGGCAAGAACCAAAAGAAAAAGUAUUGAAGCUGCGAAGGUAAGUCUUCCUAUACCUAAGCUCUUUGGUCAUGCUCGUCUGUAUGCUCAUGUAUAUGCUUUCCUUGGAGAUGAAUGAGUGAUGUUUAAUCAAUAUAUAUAUAGUUGUGUUGUUUUCUUGGUGACAUCCUCUGUUAAUCAGAACUUCAUCCAAAAUAUGUAGCUUCUUCAUCUAAUAUGGUUAAUACUAGAACAUGGUUACACUUCCCUAACAUCACACUUCGUACCCAUUUACUCACACCCAGAAAACAUUUUGAAAAAGUCAUAAAGAGAGAGUUCUAAAGUUCAUGCUCAAGCAGAAACAGAAGCAUUUUCAUAUUAGUUCUCAUAUCAAAAUAGGAAACAGAGGUAGUUCUUUCUCUCUAGCCGACCAUACCUUCUAGAUCAUCUUUCACCUAUAUCAAACAAACAGACCAAAUCACAAGUCUCAUGCCAUUUUAUUCGAAGUUUGUCCUCUCGAGUAAACCACCACCAUUCAUCUUUUUGGAGUGAUCAUCAAUCAUUUUCCUCAAUCUCCAGUUUCGCUUUGAAUCAUUGAUAGCCGACGGGCUGCAUUUCAUGGCUGCUACCACACCAGCUGCACUCCAUUGUUUUAUCUAAACCUGCAAAGGGAAACAGUACAGAAACCCCCACACCCUAGAUCACCCUAGAUCGCAAACCCCCAAAUAGUGAUCCACGGGAACUCCUCUCGGUUUCAAUGCGCCACCACCACCAUACAUGGUCCUAGGCAAAAGAAGAAAACAGAGAACAGAACAUGUUGCAAACCAAAAUCUGGCUAGCUUGGACUUUGAACGAAAUUGGCGCAAUUGCAAUAGCUGACUAUCGUCUCCGAUUCGCGCAUCGAAGAAGAAGAAGGACGACUAGCGCAAGAGUUUUGAUGAAGGACGGUGUCGCCGGCGAUGAUGCGACGACGAGCCUCGACGGCGGUGUAGGGUGGCGGCGCGGUGGCUGGCUUUGGUUGGAGAGGUGAGUGCGGCGCACGAAAAGGGGAGAGCUGCCUCGGGCUAGCGUUUCCUUCGUUGACGACGUCACCGGUGUGGUUUUGGCCAGCCAUGGGGACGUGCGACCGGGGUGGAGGCUAGGCGGCUCGCGAACUGACGGCGAAGAGGGACACCUCUAAGUUUGCCGGCAGAGUGAGGGAGAGACUUUAGGUCUCUUGCCUGAGUGAGAAGUGUCGAAAUGAGAAAGGAAUAUGGAACCCCUAUGGGUUUCUGAACUUGGGGUGAGACUCCUGGGCCGCUGGGCGAAACCCAACAACAAAAAAUAAUAAACUUUUUUUUACCAACACUGUUUCCACUAAGUCGUACCACAUCUCCUUCCGGCUUAAGCCCAUUCGACCUAGAAAACUUUUUCUCUGUGCACCACGUUUUAUUAUAAUUUCACACCAUCCUUUUUCUUCCGGCUCAAGCCUUGUCAAAAAUCAAAAAGAAACAACUUUUCUGCACCCCUUUGUUCAUAUUUCGCACUCCCAUUCCCUUUGGGCUUCAGCCCAUCUUUUCUACACAAAAUCUCUUCUUCCUUCCACACCCUAUCCUCGCUUCACACCCCUUUUUCUUAUUUAAGCACUACCACCCCUUUUACUUAUUAUUUUUUUUUUCUUAUUAUUAUUUUUAUUUUAUCAUUUAACUUUUAGUUUGUUUAUUUUUACUUUUUAUUUUAUUUACUUAUUUACCCAUUUAUUUUAUUUCUAUUUUUCUAUUCUCUAUUUUAUUUAGUUAUUUACCUAUUUAUUUUAUUUUAUCUAUUUUUAAAUAAAUAUUAAAAUUAGCAAAAAUUAUUUCAAAGGGUUUGAACGCACGUGCGACCAUUCUGUCGGCCUUGUGCUGAAAACCUUUUUCUUCUUCUUUCAAAAAAUCAACCAAAAUUUAUUUUAAAAGGUUUAAGCACACGUGCGACCAUUUCGUCGGUCUUGUGCUGAAAACCUUUUUCUUCUUCUUUCAAAAAUUAAUAAAAAUUAUUUUAAAAGGUUUAAGCACACAUGCGACUGUUCGCGUAAGCUUUGUGCUAAAACCUUUCCCUUUUUUUAUAAAAACAUCAAAACAAAAAAACAUCCUUGUCUAACCAACGAACAAUCUUUCAGCUAGAACUACAUAACCCUAAUUUCUCAGUCUAAUUGAGAAUACGUAGGAGCAAGGUCAACCCUUGUCGGGCACAAAAAAAUAAAAAUAAAAUAUUUUGUUUUCUUUAAAGUUUUAUCUUUUUAGGGGAAAUUAAACAUUUUGCAAUCUGUUAAUACCCAAUUUCGUCCGGAUUAUCUUUCUAAUAUUUUUGUCAUCACAUAUUUAACCCUUUUAUUAUUCAUUCACCUAUUUUCUUUUUUGUUUAUUUUUAUCACCUUCUUACUUAUUUUUGUUUUAUGGUAGUUAUUUUAUUUUACUCUUUCUUUUCAAUGCUUAUUUUCCUUUAGUUUUUAUUUUUUAUUUUAUCCUAUUCUCUUUUUAUUUCAUUUUUGUUUUUCCCUUUACAAUUUUUAAUUUUCGUUUUUUUUUAGUUUUAUCUUUCUUAUAUUUUAUCUUGUUUAAAAAAAAAAAUAAUAAUAAUAAAUAAAAAAAAUAAAAAAUAAAUAAAAAGAAAAGAAAAAAAGCCAUGUGUGCAAAACGACAAGGAGAACGGUUUUUUUGUUCAGAGGAGACCAAGUGGUUUGUGGGGGAACAUGGCAGAGAGGUUUUGGGAAUUUGGCAGAGCAGAGAGCAAGAGAGCAAAUCGUUACUGAAAAAGUGGCAGGCGGAGGUGGCCAAAAGAGAGCAACAAAACAUCAGAGAGGGAUCAUUGUUACGAACACAAGCAAAGAAAACCGAGUUACCGAGGACAGUGUUAUCGUGAGCAUUCAUUCUACAAAGGAGAAUAGGAGCUCCGAGAGCAAUUGGUGGAACUGCACUAGGAAGGAUAAGGAGACCCAUCGGAGCUGCAAGGUUGACGGUAACAGCUGAGUCUUCAAGAGGUGAGUGAUCCAUCCUUACACAUGAGUCUCUUUGUUAUUUACUGUUGCAUUGCUACUCUGAAUGUCAUCAAGCAUCUUUCCCAUUGUAUAUGACUAAGACUUGAAUCCUUCCCCNUCAUCGUUCCUUAUCAUACUCUGCCGUGUUCACUCUUCACUCACGGAGCCAAUAACCGAGCCAAAUAACAACACCCUAUUGCAUCACACUUCUCUUGGCCAUAGCGUAACCACCGCUCCUCCCCCUCCAUUCCCAACGUCCACGACCAAGCUCAAACACACAACACCAAAAAAACACACGCAGGGUUGAUCCUUCCCCUCACACCAUCAUCCCUCAACCUGCAUUAUACAAAAACNACGGAAAGCCAAGCCAAUCACAAAACCAGUAUCACCAGUAUCACUAGUAUCACUUUCCAUUGGUACCAUCAUCCUCACAGAUUCCAGAAACCACAUACAAUAAAAAGAGAGAAUGUAAGGGAGAGGAAAACAGAGUAACAGCUGGUCUCACAAGUUCAAACUCACACNCGCACAAUACAAUGUCGGGAACCCAACACACUUCGGCAAGCAUAGUAGGAAUUUCCAAAUCAUCGCGAACACCCCUAUCCCCACCGGAAACCAAGUCAAAGGUUGAGAAAGGUGAGGCCUCUUCUCUGGUGUGCGUGAGGUUGAGGUGUUGAGAUCCGAGAGAGAAGUUGGGNACGGCGCCGGGGCUGACUUCGAUUCCUGCGGUUUUGGUCGUCGCCGGUGAGGCCAGGUAGAGGUUGCUAUGCCGGUGGCCGGUCGGGAUGAAUCGCGAAGGGGAGCGAUUGUUCCUCUUUCUGCUGGCNCGAAGAAGACGCGUGAGGGCGGUGAUCGUGGCAGCCCUGACGCUAGGAGGAUGGAUGUUGCGGUACGGUGGCUGUCGAGGCGGAGGCGCGGUGACCGUUUCCGGCAGUUGCCGGCGUCGCUAAAAGGGGGAAAACCCCACCCCUGGGACGAGUCGCGAAGAGGAAGGGAGAGGGAGGCCGGCGAUAAGGUCGCUGACCGGACAUUGGCGAGUGCGUCAGCGUCGCCGUGGCUGAUCGACGGGAACAGCGGUGCGGUGGCUGUCGGAGAGGCAUCGGCCGGUGGUGAUGGGAGGUUGCGUGAAUGGUAGAGUGGGAGGCCUCUAGGGUUUUUUGGGAGGGAGAUGUUUAGCCUCUUAGGUUAGGUUCUGGGCGUUUGAAAUGAGAGGCAAUUUGGGAGACCCCUUAGGGUUUCUGAAGUUGGGGAGGGCUUUGNGCCCUUGGGCCAAGCCCGAAGGCCAGCAGUUCACUUCUGCACCCCCCAUGGCUACUAAUUGGCGCCAUUGNAUAAUGGGUUUGAGCUCAUUCAUUCUCUGUACCCCCUUUGCUUCCAUCCGCAACCCCCAUCCCUUUGGGUUCGAGCCCAUUCUGCCAACAAAAAAAAAACGUUUCUGCACCCCCUGUUUCCACUUAGUCGCGCCUCUUUNCACAUGGGCUUAGACCCAGUGUGCUAUUAAACUAAAAUUAGAUCUGCACCCCUGUUUUAUUCAUUUCCACCCUUUUUCUACUUGGGCUUAGGCCCAAUCUGUUAUUAGAGCUAAAUUGGUUUAAGCACUCCUUUUUUUUUUUAUUUAAGUACCUCCCCAUCCUUUCUUAUUAGUUUAUUUCUAUCUAUUUUAUCUAUUAAUUUUUUAUUUUGUUUUCUUUAUUUAUUUUUAUUUGUCUUUUUCUUUCUUUUUUUUCUUUUGCCUCCAUUAAAAUAUAUUCAUUUACCCUUUUUUUUUUAAAUAUACUUUUAUAAAAAUUAAAAAAAAAUUAAAAAAUAUAUUUAAAGGGGUCUAGCACAUGUGUGAUCGUACGCAUCGUCCUUGCGCUAGAAAACCCUUUUCUUUUCUAAAUAAAAAAAUUAAAAAUACCAAAAAUAUAUUUUAAGGAUUCUAGCGCAUGUGUGAUCGCACGCAUCGUCCUUGUGCUAGAAAACCCUUUUCUUUUCUAUAAAUAAAAAUACCAAAAAUAUGUUUUAAGGGGUCUAGCACAUGUGUGAUCGUACGCAUCGUUCUUGUGCUAGAAAACCUUUUCUUUUCUAUAAAUAAAAAAUAUAUCUUAAGGAUUCUAGCGCAUGUGUGAUCGCACGCAUCGUCCUUGUGCUAGUAGACCUUUUCUUUUCUAUAAAUAAAAAUUAAAAAAUAUAUUUUAAGGACNCUAGCGCAUGUGUGAUCGCACGCAUCGUCCUUGUGCUAGAAGACCUUUUCUUUUUCUUACACAAAAAUUACAAAAAUACCAAAACAUCCCUUUUCAAACAAACAAUCAACCCUUCACCAGAACUACGUAACCCUGAUUUCUCAGUCUAACUGAGAAUACGUAGGAGCAAGGUCAAUCCUUGUCGGGCACAAAAAACACAAAAAAAAUAUUUUGUUUUCUUUAGUUUUAUUUUUUAGGGGAAAUUAAACAUUUUGCAAAUCAUAUUGAAUUCGCGUAUUUAAUUAAAGGUACUGCCUUAGGGCAGGCGUUGUGGGGGUGCUAACACCUUCCCCACACGUAACCGACUCCCGAACCAGAAUCUGGUUUCUUUUUUUUUCGUAGACCGCCUUAUCCUUUUUUAUGGUUUUUUCCAUAGUUUUCCAGAAUAAACUAUGGUGGCGACUCCAAAUCUCUUUUUUCCAAAAGACAUUAAUUUAUUUUUGGAUCGUCGUCCCGUCGCGAUUUUCCGGUUGCGACACAAUCCACAUAUUUAUUCAUGUAUUUAAUUAAAGGUACUGCCUUCGGGCAGGCGUUGUAGGGUGCUAAUACCUUCCGUACACGUAAUCGACUCCCGAACCCAAUCUUUGGUUUUCAUGGAUUGUGCCUUUUCUUUAUGGUUUUUUCCAUAGUUUUCCAUUUUCCAUAGUUUUCCAGAAUAAACUAUGGUGGCGACUCCAAACUCUUUUUCGAAACUCAUUUUCUUUUUGGAUCAUCGUCUCGCCGCGACAUCCGGUUGCGACACUAAACAUUCACAAACAAACAACUUUUCUACCAUAACUACGUGAUCCUUGAUUCUCCAUCCAAAGUGGACACACAUAGGAGCAAGGUCAGUCCUUGUCAAGCUCGCUUCCCAAAAAUCCAAAUCUUUUCCAAAUAAAUUUUCUUACUAAUUUCGCAAAGAUAUUUCUUUAUAGUGUUUUUUUAGGAUAAUUAAACAUUUCUUAAAACCACAUCAAAUUCGCGUAUUUAAUUAAAGGUACUGUUUUAGGGCAGGCGUCGUAGGGCGCUAACACCUUCCCUACACGUAACCGACUCCCGAAACUAGAAUCUGGUUUUCACAGACCAUGCCUUAUCAUUUUAUGGUUUUUCCGUAGUUUUCCAGAAUAAACUAUGGUGGCGACUCCAAAAUCUCUUUUCAAAAUCGUUUUCUUUUUUGAUCAUCGUCCCGUCGCGACACCGGUUGUGACAACUAUCUCUCAGGUGGAGGCUACUUUUUCCAUGGCAUGAAAGUUGCUAUGCAUGUUCAACAACUUCAUGCAAUGGCACCGACUUCAUCCAUGCCUGUCUCUGCUUCUCCUUUGCCCUCGCUCACGUCUUCCUACAUUUGGAUCAUUCUCAUUAAUGUCGUUUAUUAUGUCAACUUCGUUUUCAUGGAUGAUCUGUGUUUGCUGAGCUUUUCUUAGUAUCAUUUGCUAUGCUUUAAAAAAAAUGUCGUAGCUUGAUGUCAAUAAACACAUUCCAUAACAACCUCGUAGCUUGAGAGGAUUUUAGGAAACAAGGAAACUCGGUUCUUUUGUAUUAAAGAGGUUUAUUGCAACAACAUUGAGAGCGUUAUGUAACAUACAUGCAAAGAUUGAGGUCCAACAUGAAAGGAAGAAGAAGAAGAAGAGUUAUCGAGCGGCAAAGCUUGCUUUGCCAAACACAAUGCAUAAGGUCGAAGAAGAGAGUAAGUGAGAAGUAGAGCUGUCAAAGCGGGUCCCGGCCCAGCCCACCACGGGUUGGUCACUUAGUAACCCAACCCAACCCGACUCAUUUAUUAGCGAGCCAGAAAAAUUCGAACCCGGUUCGACCAGCCACGGGUUGGUGGAUAAAUGGGUUGGCUCACUGACCCACUUAAUUACAAUUUUUUUAAAUGAUAAAAAAUUACAAACUUUCUAUAAUUCAAAUCUAAACAAAUUUCAUUCCCAAAUCUCACUCCCAACAUGGAUGUUUAAUUAAUUUUGAACAUAGGGAACUUAAAUAAUUUUUUAAAGCAAAAAAUAAUAAUAAAUAUUUUUUUAUAAAAUUAAAAUUAAAUUAUAAUAAAAUAAAAUUAGGUAGGUGGGUUGGUAGGUCAACCCGGCCCACUACGGGUUCAACCUGCAUGAGUCAGGUUUCAAUGAACCGGGUUAAAAUUGCACACAUGAGACAGUUAGGACACAAACUGAAUGUAGAAGAUUUGGACAAGUCCAAUUCUCACCUUUAUUAAAAUUGAAUCAAUUUUACACCCAGAAAAAUAUUUUAAUGACCCUUUUUCAAGUUGUAGGGUG
rnacentral:lncRNA from 1 species